UACAGAGGGGGCAAGCGUUGUUCGGAAUUACUGGGCGUAAAGGGCGCGUAGGCGGCCUUCUAAGUCAGACGUGAAAUCCCUCGGCUCAACCGGGGAACUGCGUCUGAGACUGAAAGGCUUGAAUCCGGGAGAGGGAUGUGGAAUUCCAGGUGUAGCGGUGAAAUGCGUAGAUAUCUGGAGGAACACCGGUGGCGAAGGCGGCAUCCUGGACCGGUAUUGACGUUGAGGCGCGAAAGCCAGGGGAGCAAACGGG
rnacentral:rRNA from 1 species